CAAGUGACAGUUUCGUUAAUAUCGAUUUCAACCACGUGAUUAUAAUCUAUUGUAAAUCAGUCAGAUCAACAGUAACCGAGAUCGGAACUCUGAAAUACAGCUAACCAGUACGAUUACAAAACCUACAGCUAACCAGGACUUUGAGAAUCAGAAAACACGAUCGGAUACGCCACAGAAAUCGAAUAAAUAUAUCUUUACACAUCGUUGGAUUGUUAUACGGUUUGUGGCGAAAUCCUCACGGGAACCUAACGCAACAACUACCUAUCCCAAUAAGGAAUAGACUAAAAACUGGAUUGUCAGUGUUUGCUCAUCAUUUCUCAA